GGUUAAGUUAGAAAGGGCGCACGGUGGAUGCCUUGACACUAGGAGUCGAUGAAGGACGGGACUAACGCCGAUAUGCUUCGGGGAGCUGUAAGUAAGCUUUGAUCCGAAGAUUUCCGAAUGGGGAAACCCACCAUACGUAAUGGUAUGGUAUCCUUAUCUGAAUACAUAGGGUAAGGAAGACAGACCCAGGGAACUGAAACAUCUAAGUACCUGGAGGAAGAGAAAGCAAAUGCGAUUUCCUGAGUAGCGGCGAGCGAAACGGAACAUAGCCCAAACCAAGAGGCUUGCCUCUUGGGGUUGUAGGACAUUCUAUACGGAGUUACAAAGGAACGAGGUAGACGAAGCGACCUGGAAAGGUCCGUCGUAGAGGGUAACAACCCCGUAGUCGAAACUUCGUUCUCUCUUGAAUGUAUCCUGAGUACGGCGGAACACGUGAAAUUCCGUCGGAAUCUGGGAGGACCAUCUCCCAAGGCUAAAUACUCCCUAGUGAUCGAUAGUGAACCAGUACCGUGAGGGAAAGGUGAAAAGCACCCCGGAAGGGGAGUGAAAGAGAUCCUGAAACCGUGUGCCUACAAAUAGUCAGAGCCCGUUAACGGGUGAUGGCGUGCCUUUUGUAGAAUGAACCGGCGAGUUACGAUCCCGUGCGAGGUUAAGCUGAAGAGGCGGAGCCGCAGCGAAAGCGAGUCUGAAUAGGGCGUUUAGUACGUGGUCGUAGACCCGAAACCAGGUGAUCUACCCAUGUCCAGGGUGAAGUUCAGGUAACACUGAAUGGAGGCCCGAACCCACGCACGUUGAAAAGUGCGGGGAUGAGGUGUGGGUAGCGGAGAAAUUCCAAUCGAACCUGGAGAUAGCUGGUUCUCCCCGAAAUAGCUUUAGGGCUAGCCUUAAGUGUAAGAGUCUUGGAGGUAGAGCACUGAUUGGACUAGGGGUCCUCAUCGGAUUACCGAAUUCAGUCAAACUCCGAAUGCCAAUGACUUAUCCUUAGGAGUCAGACUGCGAGUGAUAAGAUCCGUAGUCAAAAGGGAAACAGCCCAGACCGCCAGCUAAGGUCCCAAAGUGUGUAUUAAGUGGAAAAGGAUGUGGAGUUGCUUAGACAACUAGGAUGUUGGCUUAGAAGCAGCCACCAUUUAAAGAGUGCGUAAUAGCUCACUAGUCGAGUGACUCUGCGCCGAAAAUGUACCGGGGCUAAAUACACCACCGAAGCUGCGGAUUGAUACCAAUGGUAUCAGUGGUAGGGGAGCGUUCUAAGGACAGUGAAGUCAGACCGGAAGGACUGGUGGAGUGCUUAGAAGUGAGAAUGCCGGUAUGAGUAGCGAAAGACGGGUGAGAAUCCCGUCCACCGAAUGCCUAAGGUUUCCUGAGGAAGGCUCGUCCGCUCAGGGUUAGUCAGGACCUAAGCCGAGGCCGACAGGCGUAGGCGAUGGACAACAGGUUGAUAUUCCUGUACCACCUCUUUAUCGUUUGAGCAAUGGAGGGACGCAGAAGGAUAGAAGAAGCGUGCGAUUGGUUGUGCACGUCCAAGCAGUUAGGCUGAUAAGUAGGCAAAUCCGCUUAUCGUGAAGGCUGAGCUGUGAUGGGGAAGCUCCUUAUGGAGCGAAGUCUUUGAUUCCCCGCUGCCAAGAAAAGCUUCUAGCGAGAUAAAAGGUGCCUGUACCGCAAACCGACACAGGUAGGCGAGGAGAGAAUCCUAAGGUGUGCGAGAGAACUCUGGUUAAGGAACUCGGCAAAAUGACCCCGUAACUUCGGGAGAAGGGGUGCUUUCUUAACGGAAAGCCGCAGUGAAUAGGCCCAAGCGACUGUUUAGCAAAAACACAGCUCUCUGCGAAGCCGUAAGGCGAAGUAUAGGGGGUGACACCUGCCCGGUGCUGGAAGGUUAAGGAGAGGGGUUAGCGUAAGCGAAGCUCUGAACUGAAGCCCCAGUAAACGGCGGCCGUAACUAUAACGGUCCUAAGGUAGCGAAAUUCCUUGUCGGGUAAGUUCCGACCCGCACGAAAGGUGUAACGAUUUGGGCACUGUCUCAACCAGAGACUCGGUGAAAUUAUAGUACCUGUGAAGAUGCAGGUUACCCGCGACAGGACGGAAAGACCCCGUGGAGCUUUACUGUAGCCUGAUAUUGAAUUUUGGUACAGUUUGUACAGGAUAGGCGGGAGCCUUUGAAACCGGAGCGCUAGCUUCGGUGGAGGCGCUGGUGGGAUACCGCCCUGACUGUAUUGAAAUUCUAACCUACGGGUCUUAUCGACCCGGGAGACAGUGUCAGGUGGGCAGUUUGACUGGGGCGGUCGCCUCCUAAAGUGUAACGGAGGCGCCCAAAGGUUCCCUCAGAAUGGUUGGAAAUCAUUCGUAGAGUGCAAAGGCAUAAGGGAGCUUGACUGCGAGACCUACAAGUCGAGCAGGGACGAAAGUCGGGCUUAGUGAUCCGGUGGUUCCGCAUGGAAGGGCCAUCGCUCAACGGAUAAAAGCUACCCCGGGGAUAACAGGCUUAUCUCCCCCAAGAGUCCACAUCGACGGGGAGGUUUGGCACCUCGAUGUCGGCUCAUCGCAUCCUGGGGCUGUAGUCGGUCCCAAGGGUUGGGCUGUUCGCCCAUUAAAGCGGUACGCGAGCUGGGUUCAGAACGUCGUGAGACAGUUCGGUCCCUAUCCGUCGUGGGCGUAGGAAAUUUGAGAGGAGCUGUCCUUAGUACGAGAGGACCGGGAUGGACGCACCGCUGGUGUACCAGUUGUUCUGCCAAGGGCAUAGCUGGGUAGCUAUGUGCGGAAGGGAUAAGUGCUGAAAGCAUCUAAGCAUGAAGCCCACCUCAAGAUGAGAUUUCCCAUAGCGUAAGCUAGUAAGAUCCCUGAAAGAUGAUCAGGUUGAUAGGUUCGAGGUGGAAGCAUGGUGACAUGUGGAGCUGACGAAUACUAAUAGAUCGAGGACUUAACCAU
rnacentral:rRNA from 1 species